UACGGGGGGGGCAAGCGUUGUUCGGAAUUACUGGGCGUAAAGGGCUCGUAGGCGGCCAACUAAGUCGGAUGUGAAAUCCCCAGGCUCAACUUGGGAACUGCAUCCGAUACUGGAUGGCUUGAAUUCGGGAGAGGGAUGCAGAAUUCCAGGUGUAGCGGUGAAAUGCGUAGAUAUCUGGAGGAAUACCGGUGGCGAAGGCGGCAUCCUGGACCGACAUUGACGCUGAGGAGCGAAAGCUAGGGGAGCAAACGGGG
rnacentral:rRNA from 1 species